CUAUCAGAGAAGGUUAAAAUAUAAUCUAUGUUAUAAUCAGGUUCUUUUUCUCAAGCCUUCUCAGAUUUACUUCUCAAGAUGGAUCAACAGGUUUGUUGUGAAGAUUAACUCAGAUGAUGGAUAUGAAAUACUGAAAUCAAAACCUAGCUUAUGGUACGAAUUCAACUAUUAUAUCAAAAAUACCUUAAAAGUUCCUGAAUGAACUGACCUCCUCUUAGGAAAUUCACCUUUUUCUUGAGAUGGUGCAAUAUAAAGAGCAAGAAGUUUGGACCCAAAUGCCUGGGUUGGAAAGACCUCUCAUCCACUUAGGAGAUGGGUCACCUUCGACAAGUUGGUUAGCCACUCUAAGUGCUUCUAAGACUUUCUCACAUAAAGGCACACAGAAAUUAAUGGAGUUUUUUAUGGCCCACUAGGGCCAAUUGAAGAAGCUGUUUGCAGCCAGCCCUGCAGAGUCUCACCCUGCUGCUCCUGCUGCUCAGUGAAAUCAGCAUGCCAGCACAGCGUUAGCCUGUUUGCAUGUGCUGCAGCAUGACAAAAAGAAAUACUCCGGAGGACAAAGUUUGGCAAGAAAGCCAGAUGUCUUCCAUUUACACAUAAUGCUGGACCAGGACAUGUAUAUCCAUUCUUCAGGUUAUUUGUUGAAAACUGGUUUACACAUCAUAUGAAGCAGUCCUCCCUCAGCUAAUAUGUCCAAUUCACAUAAACACUUUUACAGAACAAUCAUUUUCCUCUUCCCAUUAAAUGACAUCAGGAAAUGAUUUUUAAAACCUGGUCUAGUCUUUUCCUGAACAACAAAUUCACCAUGUUGCUGAAAUUAUGAUUUAUUAAAGUGAAAAUGAGAUAUCUUAUGCACCACAGCAGAGUGAAUUU